UCCAGACUCCUACGGGAGGCAGCAGUGAGGAAUAUUGGUCAAUGGUCGGGAGACUGAACCAGCCAAGCCGCGUGAGGGAUGAAGGUACAGAGUAUCGUAAACCUCUUUUGUCAGGGAACAAAGGCGGGGACGUGUCCCCGGAUGAGUGUACCUGAAGAAAAAGCAUCGGCUAACUCCGUGCCAGCAGCCGCGGUAAUACGGAGGAUGCGAGCGUUAUCCGGAUUUACUGGGUGUAAAGGGCGUGCAGCCGGGCUGACAAGUCAGAUGUGAAAUCCCGCGGCUCAACCGCGGAACUGCAUUUGAAACUGUCAGUCUUGAGUACCGGAGAGGUCAUCGGAAUUCCUUGUGUAGCGGUGAAAUGCGUAGAUAUAAGGAAGAACACCAGUGGCGAAGGCGGAUGACUGGACGGCAACUGACGGUGAGGCGCGAAAGCGUGGGGAGCAAACAGGAUUAGAUACCCCCGUACC
rnacentral:rRNA from 1 species